UAGCAACUUAACUUUUCGUACCCACUUGCAAAAAUACAAAAAUACCAUCCCCCAUUGAACCGCUAAUCUCAAUUAUAAGGCUACUUUUAUUCAGUAACGUUCAACGCUUCCUCCCUUCCUGCUCUCCUGCCUCCCGUCGUUCUCUUCUCUCUCCUCCCUCAAAUCCUCUCGAAAAUCCAAAAAAUCAAAAAAAAAAAAUUCAAGAUCUAAUUGAAAAAUUCAAGACCUAAUCUAUGCAAAUCGAGAUCUUCUUCAUGACCCAUGCUCCGACAAUUCUGAUUCGCGAGACGUGGUCAGAAAAUCUUCCGAUUGUUCGACGCCUCUGCUACCAUGACGUCUACAAAAAUUUGCUACAUCCACCGCAGAUUCAGAAGAAAAGUCACACAGACGAAGAGAGAGAAUUUGAGGACAUCCUCCCAUUUCUUUGACAACCAAUUAACAAGAAAUAUCCCAGCAAUUAUUAUACCCAUUCACAAAAUUCAAUCGAAAACCAAAAUUUCCCCAAAAUAUAGUAGUUUUCUUUGAAUCUUUACCCUGGAAUUUGUGCAUUCCGCCAAUUCCGUAUCUGGGUUCCCCAAAUUUUGUCUACUUUUGUGGGAUUUGAAGUUUAUUGGGGAUUCCAAGCUAUGUUGUUGGGUUCAGCACAAUUUGUUUCAGCAAAAUUUCUGAUUUUGGGUGAAAAGUAUUGGAAUUUCUGCCUUUUGGGUGUAAGAGAUCAAAUUUGUUUCUGAUUUGAUUCAUGAUGAUGUGGAGGGACCCUGGACAACCGACAGAUUCUUAUUAUGAAGUCAGACCUGAUAUUACCUAUGCUCCAAAGACCAAGUUCAGGAUCAAGGUUUGUUGGGUAUUUUUAUUUUUUUCGCAUUUAUUUUUAGCUAUUAGCUAUUGAAAAUGCUGAUUUUGUCUAAUGAAUUUUAUUUUGUACUUAUAUUAUACGACCUGCAAUUGCAAUGGUUGCAUAAAGUUGUGAGGAAAAUGCUGAAUGUUGUCUAUGUCUUGCUCAAUUGACGUAUUAGCUUAUGAGUCGGUUUUCGAUUUGUUGGAUUUCGGAAGUGAUGCUGCAACAAACUAGGGUUGCUACUCCCUUUACCAUCUUUCUCUUGCUUCUCUUGAGGUUGUUCUUCUUUCUCCUUUGUCGUUUUUUUCUGAAUGUUGUGGGAUGGCAAAUUAUCUUAUCAAAUUCAUAUGUUCAAGUCAUAUGAAUCUAUUUUUACAAUGACUAGAAUCUUUCCAAUGUAAAUAGCCAUGACUGUAGUAACUAUGAGGGGCUUCAUCAAUAGAAAAUUGUGGAAAACACUUAAGCAUGAUAUUCAUUAGAUCACUAACAUCAACAUUUUCUAUAAAUUAUUCUUCCUGUUAAAGAAAAUAUUCUUUUUAUUUGCAUCCAAGGUGAAAACAAAUAAAUACUUGAUUUUAAGUUAAUACUGGUCACUAAUUAAGAAAUACAUUUAUUUAUUCUGCUGCUUUUAUUCUUUCUGUAUGAAGUUAUCUUUCGAAGAUUUGCUGGUGGAGUGGUUUUGUUGGAGGUUGAUUAUUAUCGUUUUCUGUUAUUGUCUUCUAAAACAGAUAAUAAUUAUUAAUAAUGGUAUGUAAACUGUAAUAAUAUAUAGCAUGUAAAUUGUAAUAGAGGAACAUAAACUUUUUACAAUUUUUUGAACCACACUUAUAGCAGCAGGAGAGCAUUCCAGAGUUUUGACAGAAAAAAGUGGUUAUAUCAUAUUGUAUUUUUGAAUUAGAUCUUACUUUGGAGCUUAAUGUGUAGAAACUUGGGACUAGCUUCUGGAUGUUGUGGUGUGUCUUAUUAUGGUUUAGUAAAGAUGUUGCUCUAGACUCUGUGAAGUGAUUUUUCAGCCAUUGGUCGUGUUUGUCAUACAUGUUUCCAUAAAGACACCAAAUUAGAGAAUGGAAUUAUUCCAUUGAGUGACUUGAACAAAAUUUCAGGAACACUUCAGGUUGUUUGUUGUAGGACCGAAGUAUUAAUGUGCUAUGUGUGUGGAAUUGGACAGGAACUAAGGGUUAGAAGACAUAUCCCUCCGCUGCAGACUUGCAGGAUAUCUAUCAAAUGUUGGCAGAAGCGAGCACCAGCUGUCCAGCAGACUAAGCUUAUCUUUCAAUCUGUUUAAACAAGUUCUGAUGGACAAAUUUUAAUUUGGAGGCCUUAUGUGUUAUGAUAUUAAUGUAUGUCGCCACGGGAAGAGUAACAACAAAAGUACAUGUGUUUGCAUUUGGUGCCUACCAGAAGAUCAAGCACAAUUAGCAUCCUGGUUCAGAAGAGUGCUCAUCACCAAAGAAAGCAUAAGAAAGGCCAUAGACCCUAACCGUGAUUGUGAUAUAGUGGAAACUUUCGAAAGCAUUUGCAAAGUGGAUGAGCUCUCAUGGCACUGCACAGCUUGAGAGCCACAUCAGCAUCCUGAAAUGAGUCACGUAGUUAACAUCCUGUUGCUCUGGUGGAGCAAUAGAGGCCUGCAGAGCUGGAAACAACAAUGAUUGUGUUGGGAAAAAUAUCGACACGAGUCUUCCUCAAGCUCUUCAGAGAUGGCAAGCUGGUGAGACUACGACUAUGAGUUAAUAUAGUAGUGUUAUGGAUGAUGAUAAUAGCAGACAUUAUCACUCUAGCUCCUACUACACCUACUAUGGGGGAAAGCUUUACCAACUUCAAUGGUCAAUGAUGUUAAAUUCUUAUAAUUGUUAAGAUUCAUGAACCUUAUAAAUGGGAGGGGGUUGGUGAUGACUGAUGAGUGAACUCCUUCUCUCGGGGCCGAGCAAAAAUCGUUUAAUCUCAAGGGGGCAUACUAAACUUUUGAUAUGGUUGUUCUUGAGAUGGGGCAGAGUAUUACCACUUGAGAUUUAGAGGUUGUUUUAGCAGAUCAUGUGUGAGAAAUGUUUCUGUUUCACUUUUGGAUUAUAGAGGUACACUUACAAUUUUUAGUUUUUAUAUAAUCUUGCACGCAUCGCGUGCAUAUAAGACUAGUUUGAUAUAUUCAAAAGCAACUUUCAUAUA